GGUAGCGUGGCCGAGCGGUCUAAGGCGCUGGAUUUAGGAUCCAGUCUCUGCGGUGGGCGUGGGUUCGAAUCCCACCGCUGCCA